GAUUCUGGCUCAGGAUGAACGCUGGCGGCGUGCUUAAUACAUGCAAGUCGAACGAAGACAUCUCGCCGAAGCUUGCUUCAUUGAGAUAUCUUAGUGGCGGACGGGUGAGUAACGCGUGGGUAACCUGCCUUACACAGGGGGAUAACAGUUAGAAAUGACUGCUAAUACCGCAUAAGCGCACAUUAUCGCAUGAUAGAGUGUGAAAAGAUUUAUCGGUGUAAGAUGGACCCGCGUCUGAUUAGCUAGUUGGUGAGGUAACGGCCCACCAAGGCGACGAUCAGUAGCCGGCCUGAGAGGGUGAACGGCCACAUUGGGACUGAGACACGGCCCAAACUCCUACGGGAGGCAGCAGUAGGGAAUAUUGGACAAUGGGGGAAACCCUGAUCCCAGCGACGCCGCGUGAGUGAAGAAGUAUUUCGGUACGUAAAGCUCUAUCAGCAGGGAAGAAAAUGACGGUACCUGACUAAGAAGCACCGGCUAAAUACGUGCCAGCCGCGGC
rnacentral:rRNA from 1 species